rnacentral:rRNA from 1 species
UACGUAGGGUCCGAGCGUUGUCCGGAAUUAUUGGGCGUAAAAGGCUCGUAGGCGGUUUGUCGCGUCGGGAGUGAAAACCUACAGCUUAACUGUGGGCUUGCUUUCGAUACGGGCAGACUUGAGGCAUGCAGGGGAGAACGGAAUUCCUGGUGUAGCGGUGAAAUGCGUAGAGAUCGGGAGGAACACCAGAGGCGAAAGCGGCGACCUGGACAGGUACUGACACUCAACUACGAAAGCGUGGGGAGCAAACAGG